rnacentral:lncRNA from 1 species
GUUGCUUUUUGCUUGCCGAAACAAAACCUUCAACCCCGCGAAUAAUAUCCCUUUGAAAAUGCUGCAAAAUCAUGAAUUUAAGAACUUUUCACAUAAUAAAAUCUCUUCUAAGAUGUUAAAGGAAAUUGCAUCACAACAUUCGUAUAUGAUAUAUCGAAUAGUUAACAAAUCAAAAAAAAUUAUAUUUGAACAACACAUUUAUAGAUUACAAACAUAUGUGUGCACAUAAGCCAUCAGUACCGAACUGGAACAGCCAAACAAAAUUUAGGAAAAUCUAUGAAACUAUAAAGUAGAAAUGAAGAUUUUCAGAACGAUAUUCUAUAGAGAAACAUAUACAUACAACGCCCAUAAAUUUCUUAAGAUUCUGAGUGUUGUUUGCAAAGAAAUACAUAAGACCAAUGGGAACUGUUACAUAUACAACAAACUUUGCCAUCUCCAAUAGAUAGCAUACGAGGCAAAGGGCGUAAACCCUAGAAUUAGCAGAAUAAGAUAUCAAGUAUCUACAGUAAAGCAGAGAUCCUAUUCAUAAGGCAAUUCUCGAAAUUAAAUUGCAAAAUAACAAGCUGCUUUUAAGCCAACAUUGAAAGCAGUGAUAUAAUAUGAAUCAAACAUUCAAUCAAACAAAGUUUAUAUGAACAACACAUUUUUAGAUUACUUGCAUGUACACGCAGAUAAGCCAUCAGUACCGAACUGGAACAGCCAAACAAAAUUUAGGAAAAACUAUAAAGUAGAAAUGAAGAUUUUCAGAACGAUAUUCUAUAGAGAAACAUAUACAUACAGCGCAGCGCCCAUGAAUUUCUGAAGAUUCUGAGUGUUGUUGGCGAAGAAAAACAUAAGACCAAUGGGAACUGUUACAUACAGCGAACUUUUCCAUCUCCAAUACACCCUUCCAAGUUCCCAGCGAUGACAUUUUCUACUUCUGUAAAUAGAAGUAAAAUAAAAGAGACAACGAUGCCGAGAUUGUAAGAUAGCAUACGAGGCAAAGAUUUUUUGGGCGUAAACCCUAGAUUUUCAAAUCCAUGUAAGACUCCCGAACUAUUUCAAAAUCAUAGAUUCCUAAUUAGCUACAAAAAAAAAGGUUAAAACGAAGGUGAAAGGUCGUGAUUUUGUUCUGGGAUGUAAAGCCAAGAGAUGAAGAAAGGGAAGAAGAAGAAAUUGAAAGCCCAAGAUCUGAGAUUCGGAGGCGAGAAAAAUGGGAGAUGAAAGAGAAUGU